CUCGCACACGACGAUCGACCUUCGCAAUCGACUCUCUCUCUCGGCAACUUUGAGAGAGACUCCAAGAGCUGAAGAACUCCUUCCUGCGAAGCUAUUGAAGAGGUUUAAUCGAAGGUGCUAAUCGAUUCUCUCCUUCAAAGAUCACAUUCCGCAAACGACCCCCUCCGCUCCAAUGACGACUCCUCUUCUCGUCAGAGUUUUUAAGGAUUGAAGAUGUCUGAAUCUGAAGCUGACGCAAACUCUCAACUAGGCUUGAAAUCCCUGUGAAGGUAAAGGUGAAGGUGAAGGUGAAGCGAUUUAGAUUUUUAGAUACGUACACUCUUUUUUUGCCAUGAGACGAAGCUUGGGAAGAAUUUCGAGUCCCACCAUCGGCAAUGCCACCAAACACAAUUUGAUCGCCUUCUCCUCCUCCGCUUUUUCCACCUUUGCUGGUGGCGGUGGCGGUGGCGGUGGAGGUGGAGGUGGAGGUAGAGGUAGGGGAUGAGGCUCCUCCAACUUCCAAUUCACCAUUCCCGCCUCCACCAACCCCGCCCCGCCUGCCCCUGGUGAUGGUGAUGGUGAUGACGAUGAUCCAAAAGGCUUCCCAUCUGGGAUGGGUCAUGACCGAGGUAAACCCCUCCCUGGUACCCCUAUUCUUCCAUCAUUUUCUUCCUUCAUCUCUUCCGUUGUUAGUAGUAGUGGUAACAACAACACUACUACUGGACGUGGCAGAGCCCCUGCCCCUCCUUCGCAAUCUGAGCAUGAGCUUAAGAGACCCAUUUUCUUUAGCAAAGAAGACGCGACUGAUUUGACCACUCCCUCUAAAAUCCAAAUUGGAAAUUCCCUAGACAGCAACCUCCCCUCCAGUAUUUUAUCUGCCCUGUCUAGUGCCGGCCGUGGAAAGCCCCUCGCUAAACAAUUGCUUCCCGACGACAUGCCUAAGGAAGAAAAUCGCCACCUCAGGUCC